rnacentral:rRNA from 1 species
CCUACGGGGGGCAGCAGUGAGGAAUAUUGGUCAAUGGGCGGAAGCCUGAACCAGCCAAGUCGCGUGAGGGAUUAAGGCCCUAUGGGUCGUAAACCUCUUUUGUCAGGGAACAAAGGCGGGGACGUGUCCCCGGAUGAGUGUACCUGAAGAAAAAGCAUCGGCUAACUCCGUGCCAGCAGCCGCGGUAAUACGGAGGAUGCGAGCGUUAUCCGGAUUUAUUGGGUUUAAAGGGUGCGCAGGCGGUCUGUUAAGUCAGCGGUCAAAGCCCGGGGCUCAACCCCGGCCCGCCGUUGAAACUGGCAGUCUCGAGUUGGAGAGAAGUAUGCGGAAUGCGCGGUGUAGCGGUGAAAUGCAUAGAUAUCGCGCAGAACUCCGAUUGCGAAGGCAGCAUGCCGGCUCCACACUGACGCUGAGGCACGAAAGCGUGGGUAUCGAACAGGAUUAGAUACCCGGGUAGUC